UACGAAGGGGGCUAGCGUUGCUCGGAUUGACUGGGCGUAAAGGGCGCGUAGGCGGUUCGUACAGUCAGACGUGAAAUUCCUGGGCUCAACCUGGGGGCUGCGUUUGAUACGUGCGGACUUGAGUGCGGAAGAGGGUCGUGGAAUUCCCAGUGUAGAGGUGAAAUUCGUAGAUAUUGGGAAGAACACCGGUGGCGAAGGCGGCGACCUGGUCCGAUACUGACGCUGAGGCACGAAAGCGUGGGGAGCGAACAGG
rnacentral:rRNA from 1 species